UCGAUACUUCAAAGUUGGUUGGGGCGCCGCGGUCGUAUAAACCGUGGUUGCCCCUUCCUCCCCUGAACGGGGAACCCUGUGUCUAUUCGUACCCUCCGUUUCCUCGGCAGGUCCGCCUGCCAGCGAGGACCCCCCAAAACUCUUUUCCUGUAGUGGCAGUACCAGUCUGAAAAACGCAAAUAUCUUA
rnacentral:misc_RNA from 1 species